rnacentral:rRNA from 1 species
AGGAAUCUGCCUAUUAGUGGGGGACAACAUUCCGAAAGGAAUGCUAAUACCGCAUACGCCCUACGGGGGAAAGCAGGGGAUCUUCGGACCUUGCGCUAAUAGAUGAGCCUAAGUCAGAUUAGCUAGUUGGUGGGGUAAAGGCCUACCAAGGCGACGAUCUGUAGCGGGUCUGAGAGGAUGAUCCGCCACACUGGGACUGAGACACGGCCCAGACUCCUACGGGAGGCAGCAGUGGGGAAUAUUGGACAAUGGGCGAAAGCCUGAUCCAGCCAUGCCGCGUGUGUGAAGAAGGCCUUUUGGUUGUAAAGCACUUUAAGCGAGGAGGAGGCUACUGAGAUUAAUACUCUAGGAUAGUGGACGUUACUCGCAGAAUAAGCACCGGCUAACUCUGUGCCAGCAGCCGCGGUAAUACAGAGGGUGCGAGCGUUAAUCGGAUUUACUGGGCGUAAAGCGUGCGUAGGCGGCUUUUUAAGUCGGAUGUGAAAUCCCUGAGCUUAACUUAGGAAUUGCAUUCGAUACUGGGAAGCUAGAGUAUGGGAGAGGAUGGUAGAAU